AGAAAAUAAAACGUUAGAGACAAGAAGAUACCCAAAAUGAUGAGACUUUUAAAGAACUGGUUAACACUCAGAGAGAUGCUAGUUGGGUGCUAAUUCUUAUCAGUUUGUAGAAGGCGGUGGAUGAUUUUCUAGUGCAAGGAAAUGAAUAUUUCUGGUAGCUGGGAAGUGGAGGAGUUUUGCAUCUCUUGCUGAGAGAAAUCCAGCAUUUUCCUGAGAUUACAGAGUUUCUCCACAGCUGGGUGCGAUCUGCCUUCUUCCACUGCAAAUUUUUGAGUCCUUGCUGGGGCUAAUCUGCUUGGUCACGUUAGGAGCAGAGGACAGCAGCGGUGAUGGACUUCAAAGACCUGAACAGCACCAUGAAAGGAAAGGGGACGGGGUGCUUGCCCGGGGACAGGAUGAAAGGACAAGAGAAUUACUGAGCAUCAGCCAGGGCAAAGGUUUGUGUUACUGUCUAGAGGGAGAACGAUGACAUUCUGCUGGUGAGGUCCAUAGGAAUGAAUAAUUCUUAGAAUACAAUUUAGAAUUUUCUCCCAUGCUUUCAGUUCAGAAAGUCUGGCAAAUAUUAUUCAGAACUGUUUCAAAUGUUCAUUUGCAAAUGCUGGCUGAUGCUGUAUAGAUAACUUGUCCUGUUGAACUGUUCCUAGGAGGCUGCUGAGAGGACGUGGUCCUGGCUCCUGAGAUAAUGAAGCUUUUUAGGAGGUGGCUUUGGAUUUUGGCUUGGAUUUGAAUCCAAGCCACUUUGGCUUGGAUUUCAUGUCAUUUACAGUGGACUGUUACCUACUGAGCUUUUCAGCUUCUUAAAAGAAAAACACCUUUCCUGCAAUAUUAACCCUGCAAAAGUACCAAAAAAGCAUCCAUGCUGGUGAAGUAAUGCAAAGGAAUUUAAUUAUCUGCCAAACAUUGUUGAAAGCCCUUACCCAGGUUUAAUAUUUUGUGAAGUCUGAGGGAGAACAAAUAUCACUGUGAAAACUCUGAUUUUGCUACUGAAUAGGUGGUUUGCUUUGAAGAGCUCCUACUAAUGUGGAAAGCAGCAGCGACAUACAGCAGGUGCUGUACAAACAUGGACUGUCCAUCCCCCAAACCGUUCACAAAGUCUUUUGCUUCGAAUGGGUACUGAAGUCAUUAAAGCAUACAAGCCCUUUGACAAGAGUUUCUUUAGAGGAUGUAGGACUACUUAUUUCUCAUCCAGAAAGCAAUGAAGAGCAAGGAAAGCAACACAGUGGAGGGAACUAUGUAAAGUCGCACUGGACAAACCCAGCCUGUGAGGCCACAGGAGCUCUGGGAGUGCAAUAUCAUUUCAUCACAAGCUGAGGACCAUGCUCUCGGCUGGGUUCUGGAGCUGAUUGCCAGACAGAGGAUGAUACAACCCUGAGACGCUAAUUACAACUGAGCUUUUCCAGACUUUACAGUCCCCUGUGGAUGAAAAAUGAUAAAAAAGAUUCUCCAGGGAUGCCUGCCUGGUAUUAGGAAGGUGUCCUUUCCAUAUUGCCAGUCUCCUAAUGACUUGCUCCAGUGUGAGGUGGGUUCUGAGCCACA